rnacentral:misc_RNA from 1 species
UUCAGACCACCCAAGAGAUUGACUAAUUUAUUACGGAUUGGUGAGAGGUGUAAUCAACUUAAGAAAAUUCUCCUUUUUAUUUAGUCUCAAAAGUAAGAAAUCAAAAAUGGGAAAAUUUAUAAUAACUGCAAAGAAUUAUUAUUUACUUUUCUGUAACUCAAUAGUUUUUUUAAUUAUAAUUUUAUAUUGCAUAUGAUGUUACACAGGCAAGCCACUCUGGAAAUAAUACUCCAAGGAGUGUCUGAUAGAGAUUUGCUUCUUUUUUAUCUUAUUCAACUCUUGCAUCUUGUUUAGUAUUGGAGACAAACUAGCAGGAAUCUAGUGCUUUUGUUUCCCACAACAGUCAUUGCCUGAGCUAAACAAGGAAAGGAAGAAAAAGGGAACGUGGGGAAGGGAAAGUAAAUUACUUGGGUCAGUCUUUCGCUGAAAACCAGGGAAUACUUUUGAUUGUUUUCUUCUAUUCUGUUACAGCAUGUCCAUCUUUUUUUAACUGAUUUUGUAGUCUUUAUAUACGUGUAUAAAUUACACAUGCUUUUGGCAUUCUCUGGCCAAAUUUUUGAUGGAUAACUUCCAAAUCAUAAAUGCAGUACAGGUUUUCCUGCAGUUGGGUGAAGUGGUGGUUCUUGAGGUCUCAAUUGAAACACAACACUGCUACUGCUGUCUUAAAGGCUAUAAUUUCCAUUUUUUUUCCCUUGAAGUUUGUGUGGCCUCUGAUUUUGAGUUGAAGAAGCUGUUGUGCCUUUGUUUCUGACCUUCUGAAAAGAAGGGAGUUCCUCAGUAAUGGAUGAAAAGGGAGUUUCUGGUUCAUAUUUAAUUGUCUCAGAAGACAAGGGUAAUAGCUUUUAUCCAAUGUAUUUUGGAGUUUCUUGUGCUUUUUUUGCUCUCAAAGUUUUAGCAAGACCUGGCAAGGAAGAAGAAAGAUGGUUUGAAUUAUGUGAUAAAAUGCUUCAAGGAAGUGCCCAACUCUUGGGAUUGCUUGUUUGGAGAAUCCAGAGAGAAAGAGCAAAUAGUGAACAGUAUAAGCUUCUCCAUGAGCUUGAGACUGCAGAGAAAGAGAUCAAAGAACUUAAGCAAAUGAGGCGUGAGGAUGCAAAAGCAAAUGAGAAAGUUGUUGGCAUCUUUGCAUCACAAGAGCAGAGAUGGUUGAUUGAAAGGAAGAAGCUCAGUCAGCAUGCUGGAGCUCUUAUGAACGAAUUAAGGGUUCUUCAAAAAAGGAAAGAAGAAGCUAUUUCUGAAAUAAAUGAUAAACUGAAGGAAAUGGAGCUUUUGGUGCAGGCUAAGGAUAAGGCAUUAGAGGAAGAGGAACAUAAGAGGAAGGAAUUAGAAGAAAAGUUGACAAAGGCUGAAAAUGUUUUAGAAGAGUUGAGAGAAACUGCAAAGCGAGAAGCUCAAGAAUACUCUACUGAUCUUUGGAAGCAUAAGACUGCUUUUCUGGAGCUGGUGUCUAAUCAGAGACAGCUCGAAGCAGAGCUGGGUAGAGCACUUAGGCAACUUGAAGCUAAAAGGCAAGAGAUUGAUUUGGUCUUGGAGCAGAAAGAGGAGUCAGACCUCUUGACCCAAAAACUUUCUAUGGAAGUUGUAAAGAUGCGCAAAGAUUUAGAGCAGAAAGAUAAGAUCUUGUCUGCAAUGCUCAGGAAAUCCAAAGUGGAUACAGCUGAGAAGCAAAUGCUCCUAAAGGAGGUUAAACUAUCAAAGGCUAAGAGGAAGCAAGCUGAACUAGAAACAGAAAGGUGGAGAGGAAUGUCUGAGUCUAAACAUGAGCGACACUCAUUGAGAAGUAUGUUUGCUCGCCAAGCUAAUUCAAGAUCAGAUGAUCCUUCGCUUGCAAGAGGGACCUCACAAAUUGGGAAAAGGAGAUCACAGCCUGCUGACUAUGUUCUUGAGUACGAGAAACCUGAGUUCAGAAAGGAUGCAGUAGUUUUUACUCCACUUUCUGACAGCUACUCACCAGAAAUAAAUGAUGAACUAGGUAUGGAAAAAAAAUUAUCCACAUUUCUCUAUACAUAUAAAUGAACAUAUCCUGCUUUUUUAGUAUUGGAUAUGGCAAAUUUUGAUAUCAAUAAUUGAUAUAAUAUUCCUUCAUGAAAUCCAAUCCUCAUGCUUAAGAUUUGAUCUUGUCUUUGCUGGAUCUCCUUUUUUCUAUGUUUUCAUUCCUUUACUGUUCUUUCUUUUGAAGCAAUUACAACUGACAUCAAGCGAUUGGAAGGUUGGGUUCACUCAGAAGCGGAAAAGUACACAACCACAAUUGAGAAGAGGCAUCAUCUAGAAAUAGAUGCUUUUGUGGAACAGAUGAGACUCAAAGAUGAGAAAUUAGAAGCUUUUCAUUGGAGAAUGUUAAGCAUGGAAAUAGAAUCAAAGCGGCUGCAGUCUCAUGUGGAAGGCUUGAGCCAGGAUUUGUCACAGCUCAGACAUGAGAACAUGAAAUUGGAAGCAUUGUUAUUGGAAAGGCAAGAAGAAUUAAAAGCCUUGAAUGAGCAAUUCGUAGUGCAAGUAAAACCUCAGAUUACCUGGAAGACAGACUUUGAUUCAUCUCUACCUGAUCCAACAUCAGCCCUUGAUGCCUCCAAUGUUAAGAUUGUAAAGAAAGAACCUGCUGAGAGGGAUCAAGAGACAAAAGCAGAUUUAAUGGUAAUGUCUCAAGAGAAAGAUGCAGAGAAAGAAGGAGAAGCAGCCCCUACUAACUUGUCCAAAAAUGUUAUUUUCAUUGUUCAAUCUCCUGAAAAGGAGUUUGAAGAAGAGAAGGAUGUAUCUAAUGAGGCUCCAGUGAAGGACAAGAGUGUGAGUCCAGUGGAGGUUGACACUGUUCAACAGUCACCUCUGCCUAGCCAGCCAUUGAUAAAGAUAAAUAAUUCACCAUGGAGGAUGGAUCUUCAAGCCCUUGGAGUUUCUUACAAAAUCAAGAGGCUGAAGCAGCAACUCAUAAUGCUUGAGAGACUGACAGGAAAGCUAGAAAUUGGGGAACAUACAGAAAACAAUGAUAGCAUGCAGUAUGAGAUAAAGGGCUUCCAAUUACUGAUUUCUUUGCUUAAUAAACAAAUCAGCAGAUACCAAUCCCUACAAGGCAAGACUGAUGAACUUUGCAAGAGAAUGGUAAGCUAUAUUCUAUUUUGUUGCAUUUCAAGAAUUACUAUGUCUUGGCUAAUUUUGUUUCCUAUUCAGUUUUCCUUGGCAUGUCUAGAUUUGCAUCCUAUACAAUAUUUUACUCUCUUUUGACGAACUUAUGGAAUUGUAAAACGUUUUGAAGCUUAAAUUUAAUAUUUCUGUCUCCCUAGUCCAUUUUUUGACUAGUGCUAGUUUGCUGAUUUGCCCAUUUUAUUCACAGCAUGAUAAUGAUGCAGACAAAAGUGAACAUUCCGGUUCAUUAAGAACAAAAGCGGGUACUAAAACAUUAGAGCAUUUUCUUGAAGAAACAUUUCAGCUUCAGAGAUAUAUUGUUGCAACAGGACAGAAAUUGAUGGAAGUUCAGUCCCAGAUUGCUUCUGGAUUUGCUGGGUCCCCUGAAGAUGUUGACAAGUCUGUCACCUUUGACAUGAAGCGCUUUACUGAUAACAUAAGAACUCUUUUUCAAGAAGUUCAGAGAGGACUCGAAGUUCGAAUUGCUCGAAUUAUCGGGGAUCUCGAGGGAACACUGGCUUGUGAGGGUAUGAUACGAAUGAGGAGAUAGAAAUAUAGGAAGAACAACACGAAGACAAGGAUCAACAAGGGCGUCACGGUGUGAUUUACAAGUGUUUAUGCUUAUAUAUGCACAAAAUUUGUACAGGAAAAUACGCACAAGUUCUAUUGCAAUAGCUCAUUGCCAAGAAAUUUUCUCUUGUUUGCAAGUUUCAUGAAAUUGAUCCAUUAAUAAAUCCAAACAUUGUUUCUGAG